UGGGGAAUUUUGCACAAUGGGGGAAACCCUGAUGCAGCGACGCCGCGUGAUUUAGAAGGCCUUCGGGUUGUAAAAAUCUUUUUUACGGGAUGAAAAUGACAGUACCGUAAGAAUAAGGUCCGGCUAAAUACGUGCCAGCAGCCGCGGUAAUACGUAUGGACCGAGCGUUGUCCGGAAUCAUUGGGCGUAAAGGGUACGUAGGCGGCCUAGUAAGUUAGAAGUGAAAUAAUAUAGCUCAACUAUAUAAAGCUUUUAAAACUGCUAGGCUUGAGAGAUGGAAGGGAAAGUGGAAUUCCUAGUGUAGCGGUGAAAUGCGCAGAUAUUAGGAAGAAUACCGGUGGCGAAGGCGACUUUCUGGUCAUCAUCUGACGAUGAGGUACGAAAGCGUGGGUAGCAAACAGG
rnacentral:rRNA from 1 species